CACUCCUGCGGGAGGCAGCAGUGGGGAAUAUUGGACAAUGGGCGCAAGCCUGAUCCAGCCAUGCCGCGUGAGUGAUGAAGGCCCUAGGGUUGUAAAGCUCUUUCACCGGUGAAGAUAAUGACGGUAACCGGAGAAGAAGCCCCGGCUAACUUCGUGCCAGCAGCCGCGGUAAUACGAAGGGGGCUAGCGUUGUUCGGAUUUACUGGGCGUAAAGCGCACGUAGGCGGACUAUUAAGUCAGGGGUGAAAUCCCGGGGCUCAACCCCGGAACUGCCUUUGAUACUGGUAGUCUUGAGUUCGAGAGAGGUGAGUGGAAUUCCGAGUGUAGAGGUGAAAUUCGUAGAUAUUCGGAGGAACACCAGUGGCGAAGGCGGCUCACUGGCUCGAUACUGACGCUGAGGUGCGAAAGCGUGGGGAGCAAACAGGAUUAGAUACCCCUGUAGUCCCAUGAG
rnacentral:rRNA from 1 species